rnacentral:rRNA from 1 species
GAUGAACGCUGGCGGCGUGCCUAACACAUGCAAGUCGAACGGAGUAUUUCGGAUGAAGUUUUCGGAUGGAUUUGAGAUACUUAGUGGCGGACGGGUGAGUAACGCGUGGGCAACCUGCCCCAUACCGGGGGAUAACAGCCGGAAACGGCUGCUAAAACCGCAUACGAUGCAGAAGUCGCAUGACUACUGCAUGAAAUAUUCAUAGGUAUGGGAUGGGCCCGCGUCUGAUUAGCUAGUUGGUGAGGUAACGGCUCACCAAGGCGACGAUCAGUAGCCGGCUUGAGAGAGUGACCGGCCACAUUGGGACUGAGACACGGCCCAAACUCCUACGGGAGGCAGCAGUGGGGAAUAUUGCACAAUGGGGGAAACCCUGAUGCAGCGACGCCGCGUGAGUGAAGAAGUAUUUCGGUAUGUAAAGCUCUAUCAGCAGGGAAGAAGAAAGACGGUACCUGACUAAGAAGCCCCGGCUAACUACGUG